rnacentral:rRNA from 1 species
CGCUGGCGGCGUGCUUACACAUGCAAGUCGAACGAACCUUCGGGUUAGUGGCGGACGGGUGAGUAACGCGUGAGAAUCUGCCCUCAGGAGGGGGACAACAGCUGGAAACGGCUGCUAAUACCCCAUAUGCCGCGAGGUGAAAUGAAUUUCGCCUGAGGAUGAGCUCGCGUCUGAUUAGCUAGUUGGUGUAGGUAAUGGCUCACCAAGGCAUCGAUCAGUAGCUGGUCUGAGAGGAUGAUCAGCCACACUGGGACUGAGACACGGCCCAGACUCCUACGGGAGGCAGCAGUGGGGAAUUUUCCGCAAUGGGCGAAAGCCUGACGGAGCAACGCCGCGUGAGGGAUGAAGGCCUCUGGACUGUAAACCUCUUUUAUCAAGGAAGAAGAUCUGACGGUACUUGAUGAAUAAGCCACGGCUAAUUCCGUGCCAGCAGCCGCGGUAAUACGGGAGUGGCAAGCGUUAUCCGGAAUUAUUGGGCGUAAAGCGUCCGCAGGCGGCCCUUCAAGUCUGCUGUUAAAAGUGGAGCUUAACUCCAUCAUGGCAGUGGAAACUGUUGGGCUUGA